CCUACGGGAGGCAGCAGUGAGGAAUAUUGGUCAAUGGACGAGAGUCUGAACCAGCGAAGUAGCGUGAAGGAUGACUGCCCUAUGGGUUUUAAACUUCUUUUAUAUGGGAAUAAAAUGUUCCACGUGUGGGAUUUUGUAUGGACCAUAUGAAUAAGGAUCGGCUAACUCCGUUCCAGCAGCCGCGGUAAUACGGAGGAUCCGACCGUUAUCCGGAUUUAUUGGGUUUAAAGGGAGCGUAGGUGGAUUGUUAAGUCAGUUGUGAAAGUUUGCGGCUCAACCGUAAAAUUGCAGUUGAAACUGGCAGUCUUGAGUACAGUAGAGGUGGGCGGAAUUCGUGGUGUAGCGGUGAAAUGCUUAGAUAUCACGAAGAACUCCGAUUGCGAAGGCAGCUCACUGGACUGAAACUGACACUGAGGGUCGAAAGUGUGGGUAUCAAACAGGAUUAGAUACCCUGGUAGUC
rnacentral:rRNA from 1 species